rnacentral:rRNA from 1 species
UACAGAGGUCUCAAGCGUUGUUCGGAUUCAUUGGGCGUAAAGGGCGCGUAGGCGGCUCGUCAAGUCAGGGGUGAAAUCUUUCGGCUCAACCGGAAACGUGCCCCUGAUACUGGCGGGCUGGAGGGAGGUAGGGGCAGACGGAACUUCCGGUGGAGCGGUGAAAUGCGUAGAUAUCGGAAGGAACGCCGGUGGCGAAAGCGGUCUGCUGGACCUCUUCUGACGCUGAUGCGCGAAAGCCAGGGGAGCAAACGGG